AGGAGUGUAGCUCAGUUGGUAGAGCAGUGGUCUCCAAAACCACCGGUCGCGGGUUCGAAUCCUGCCACUCCUGCCA
rnacentral:tRNA from 1 species